CUUCUCCAUCUGCUGUCUGUGCCCAGCUGGCCUUGGAGACUGAGAAACCCCACCCUUUAAAUACACAGGGCUCUCUGGCCAGACCUCCGGCGGCUUUUGUGGUUUACACCACCCUCGGAGAAGGCCAGAAGGCAGCUGGUUGUUUCCCUGACCUUGCCUUUCAGUGUUGGCCUUGGGCAAAGGAGGAGAGGCAGGAGAGUUUCCCGACAUGGAGGUGGUACAGAUUCCUUGAGGGAGCCGGAUGGGUCAGGUGCUGGCUGAUCCUGCAAAAGGGUUUCCUACCAGGAAUUGCGUGGAAAGCCAGCUCUUGAAGGUCGUGCUGAACUCCCCUUGCACCACCUCCUCAUCCUUCGUACCACCCCACCUUAAGAAUUACACUUGGGAGGAUGCCAAGCCCUCUUCCGUCCAGGAGGGGCAGACGCCCUAGGACUGCACAGCUUCCCUGGAAACUCCUGACUUCUACAUGGCUGUUUGACAUUUUGCAAGAUCACAGUCCUGUUCUGCACACUGGGUGCUCACGUGAAACCCCAAGGCCUGGUUGUGACCAUAGAGAGCAAAGGCAGAAACACCAGCGGAUCCUUUUUUCUUGGCAUUUAGUGUUCUUCGCCCACACCCAGCUGCGCGGGACAAAAUGCUCACCAGAACGGAAGCUGGAGGAUCUCUUUGCUGUGGAGCUGGGCCCGCGGCGCCACCACAUCCCAGGGGCAAGACGCAGGCAAGUGAAGCAGCUUGUCUUCCACAGGCCGAGCCCCGUGCCUGCGUCAGAUCCCAGCCAGGAGGCACGUGCCCCGGAGAGAGAGGCCAGACUGACCCAGGCAUGGCCCGCAGUCCUGUGA
rnacentral:lncRNA from 1 species